rnacentral:misc_RNA from 1 species
GGUGUCCAAAUAAUCUAUCUUUAGAAAUCAACUCCCUUUUGGGGUUAAAACGGGGGAUGGUAGGUUGACUCACUGAUCACGAAAUCUCCGAAACUAUAACACUUACAAACUUGAAAUUUAGUAGGUAGGCUCCUUAUAGAUCGUAGACAUCCGCUAAGAACGAAUUUUACGAAACUCGACCCCUAAGGGAGUAAAACGGGGGUUGGAAGUUUGUAUGAAAGUCCCAUGAUUUUG